AAUAGCUGGGACCAUCCAAGUACAAACCACCUUUAAUGUAGAAGCUACCUAUUUAUAUGGUACUUGUUCAAUGCAUAAGUCUGCCAGAAAGGAAAGCAUCUUCCUCUCCAUUUUUGGAAAAAAAAAAUGGUUAUAGAAAAGGUGGGUAAUUUUUUAGCAAACAACAGUUACCAUGGUAAACUUUUCUUACCCCUGUAGAAAUUAAGAUCAGAAAACAAGGAGGAACCAAGGAGAUGAGUCGUCCCUGCAAGCAAAAUUGCCCAAUAGAUAAUUCUGGCCCCUUCUUGUAGGAGGCAGGGAUCAUGCAUGCAGGGGCUGAAAAGAACAGAAGCUGAUGCUUCUCCCUUUGUGUAGGAGUCAUUAACCUAAAAGUAAGCCUUGAACCUGAGUGGAAAAGAUGAUAGAAGACACUGGUGAGAAUUUUAUAUCUUUUAGGCCCAUAUUUUAUAAUGCUACCAUCUUCUAGCUAGGGACAACUGUAUAACCCCCAGAAAGCCACAUGUCACAGAGAUGUCUGCUGAUGCAGGGAGACCCAGCUCGAUUAGGCUGGGCUGGUGGCAGUACUGUCGUUGGUGAGUAGCAUUGUGGAGGUGAGUGUGAGAAACUUACCCACUAUCCUAGUGACAGGGCAGAGCCAGAAAUAAAUGCCCCAAGUGCCAGUUCAAGUCCUCAAAGAGGAAAAGAAGUUGUUUGGACUCAAAGGAGUUGAAGGCUUGGAUGCUACGAGUAAAUUCAGUCUUGUUUGCUUUCCCACACCUUACGAAGGUUUUUAUGGAAGGUGAGUAAGAGACUGCCUUUUCCCUCUCAGGGAUGCCCUAUACGGUGCUGCCAGGCACUACCUAGAUGCCCUUGUUGGCUGGAAUCUGGAUGCUGAUGGCUCACAGCUGUGUCCUCCUUUAGGCAUUGUCCUUGGCUCAAGGAAGCUGCCUCACCCAAGGUUAUGCCUUCUUCCUGUGACACAGCACAAAUCCAACGUCUGGGCAAUGCAGGAUGCAAGGGCUCGUCCCCCUGGCCUUAAUUCAGGACAUAUCUAAAGAGCCAUUCCACCUUCAGAGAUCCUCAUGAGAUUCCCUGAGGCUGUGGGGCUGUUUUUGUAAUUACUACAUCACAGGUCAGCUCCUCUUCUCAUGUGUCUUGGAUCAGUACUAAUCCCUAACAAAUUAAUUUAAAUGUUUGAGUCCUAGUUUGAUGUUAAAACACUUUACUAGAUUCUAUAAAAAUCAAAAUUAUGAUGUGGUCUCUGCCUUCAGGGAGAUUUUAAUGUAUAGAAAUGAUAAAUGACUAUAAAAUAUAAUACAAGGCUGCAUGGCCUGAGUAUAAGGUGCUAAGGCAUUCAUUCACCAAAGUGUCGGCGCCUACUCUGUGUUUUGUGUAGCAGUAUGGUGACAGAUAAAAUAGGCCCCGCUAUUAAGGAAUUCAGUGUGCUGGGGGAGGGGAAAAUCUAUUCUUGACAGGAGUUUCUUCACUGAGGCUCCAUUUGUUUGUUUGUUUGUUUAAGUCUCCACUAAUGUCCAAAAAGAAUUUGAGUUGGAUCAUAAAAAGUAAUUAAGUAUUUCAUGAAGGGUUGGGGUGUGAUGGAGUGGGAGGAAAAUUCCAGGUUGAAGUACUAACAUGAAGGCAGUAAAUAAGAGACCAUUUUCUCACAGUGGUUUCUGAUAGGGCCUUCAGAGUAUAGCAGUUCAAAGAAUGCUUACCUGACAAAUGGAAUCCGAAGUUGGCAGAGGCCUGAAGACAAAGGCUACAUCAAAUACAUCUGGAAAUUUCACUGGUUCUACAUUUAAAAUAUCUUCAGAAUUUAGAAAGUUCUUCAGACAAAAGGAAUAUGAGACCAACCAUAAACUUUGAUAUACAUCAAGAAAUGAAGAACAUUAGAACUGGAAUCAAGCAAGAUCUUGAAGAUUUAACUUAGAAUCACUUCACUGGCUCUGUGAAGAAGCGAAACAAAGCUGUAUUCAGCUUUUCAUUAUGUUUCAAUUAAUUAUGAUCCUUGGAACAAUUUGGGCACAAGAAUUUCAACUGUCAAAUUUGCCUUCUGGGAUGCUUUUCUUCCACAGAUUAGUGUUUCUCAAAAGCAUCCCAUAAAAAUAAUGACCCUGACAUUCUUGACAAACAAAGCAUCUCCUUUUUCUUUCAACAGUUCUCUUUGAGCUAGGAGAUAGAAUUUUACAUCUAUAAUUACAUAGCAAACUCUAUUUCAAAAACACUUUUAAAAACUGGCAUUCUGUGUCCUGCAGAUGAUGAAACUCAGGCUCUGUUUUUGAGGAACAUAUACUUUGUGAAUGAUUAAAAAAAAAUCACAGAAACUUGGCUGAUGGCCAGAUAUAACUGAUGAAUUUUUAGGCAGUUAUUAAAAUGUUUGCCUUUCAAAGCAGUUCUUUGGAAAAGGAAGCCAUGCCCCCUUGGAACCACCUAUCAAACUUAUUCUAUUAUUUGCUGCCAUAGCUGUCAUUAAUAACAUGUGAGAGGAGCUUCAUCUCUAUAUAAACAGCUGGAAAAUCAAAAGAUAGUAUUC